AUUAGACCACAAUCUGAUUUUUCUCUUUCCUUCUAUCUUGGACACCUCUGUAAGUUGGACACAUUUUCGUGGAACCCCAAGUGUCCAACAUAGAGAGGUUUUACUGUAAUAAAAUUAUAACUACUGAAAAAGAGAAGAAUGUACGUUUCUCUCUCUCUCAAAAAAUACCCAUCAAAAAUUAGAGCUGGAGAGGUGAUGGGGUUGGAAAUACUUUUCAGAAUAUCCUGAAUACUUAAAGGAAUGAACUUUAUAUUAAUAAGCACAGGAGAGUUGUAGCAGAUAUUUAUGUUAUUUAUAUAAGAAUUUUCAAGAGUGGAAGGAGUAUUGGAGGAGUGGAGAAUUAUAAAAUAGGCCUUAUUACUCUCAAAAGAAUAAAUAGCAUGUGACUUUCUCUGUUUAAAUAGUCUGCCUGAAAGUGCAGUGAUGCAGAAAGGCAAGCAUACAUUUUGUAUUUGAACUUAAAUGUUAACACAGGGGAUUAAAUUGAGUAUUAGCCAUCUAUCCCAUAAUGACAUGUGACAUUUUAAUGUGCUGUUUAACUUAAAGUAAUUAAUCGCUCACCACAGUUUUCUGUGGUUUGUAUUGUGGAGAGCAUGUUCCAAAAAUAGGAUUAAAAGUGUUUGCAUUUUGCAUAAUACAAAUGUCUGUAUAUAAAUACUGUGCAAGUUGAUACAAUUAAAAUUUAACAUAAGACUGUGUAAGUAUAUAUGCAUGUGUGUUUCUACAAAGACCAACCUAUUUACCAGAAUGUAUGACAGCAUAUUGUGUGUGUAUGUGUAUUUUUUAUGGCAUUGCUAUGUUUUAUCUUAACUUGGAUGGGAAACUGAAUUAGUAGGCACAUCUUUUUUUUCCGUCUCAUGGUCAGCGUGACCGUCGUGACCCCUUUUGGGGUUUUCUUGCAAAAGUACCAUGGUGGUUUUGCCUUGCCUUCCGUGGCCAGUCUUUACCCACCAGACUGGAAGAGGGGACGCGGACAAACAUCCAUGCCUUGAGUGGGACUCGAACCCACGGUCGCAGUGGCCAGGCGCACAAGGACCAUGCCUCAGACUGCAUGGCCACUGCGCGGGCAGGCACAUCAUUGUUUAUACAGGUUAACUUCAUAUAUGGUACUGGUAUCUGGAAAGUUAUGCAUAAUGGGAAAUUACAAGAUCUGUUAAGUGUGAUGUCCAUCAUGUUCAAAGAAUUUCUCAGUUUGGUAACAAGUUCUCCAGAGCUGCUGUUGGCAGGGAGUAGGUUGAAGAGUCGUGCAAUUUUACCAAUCAUAAGAGUCAUGCUGGGGAAGAGGACCUGGCUGCUGUGUGUGUAGUCGUGUGAGUGCCGGGGCUGCCUUCGUAUCUUCAUACUGGGCCAGCAACUCAGUAUACAUCUGCCACACAAAUCAAGCACCACAUCCUCGACCCAGACCAUGAUGGAUUCCUUGUAACACACCUUGAGCUGAGCUGCGCAACUGUUGGGGUGUGUUGUGUGCAAUAUAAGAACAGCAUGCAGCCCAUACUGCAGCAUGGGUGAUUCCUAUGGAGACUAACCUGAAGGUGCCAAAACAGGAAAGUAAAGAUGAGACCAAUGCCAGAUCCCAUGAACCAAGAAACAAAGAGGAAUGAACCACACUUAAGCAUCUGGGCUGCAUGGAUGUUCUGGGAAUGAAGUGGAAUGGUCAAGAGCAAUUCCAACAAAAAACAUGGCAAGCCCCCAUCCUAGAGAACCAAACAUGCGCUGAUGUCCAUAGCGAUCAGCAUCCUCACCCAGCAGUGUGAUCACAGCUGAAUCAGCCAGGGUAAUAGCAGGAGCACUGAAGAAUUCUCCUAUUAUCACCAGAAGAAGAAGCAGGAAGAAGACUUUCUGAAUGUCCUGUGCAGAAAUCAGAUUUAGAAAAUAUCAUGUACAGUUUGUGAUAUUUUAUUAAUUUUUAAUUUGUCAUGUUUCUGCUGA